AGGCGCGAAAACUCUACAAUGCAGGCAACUGCGAUAGGGGAACAUCGAGUGGCACCCACCAUGGGUGUCUGUCCAGCCGUCUAAAAAACGGCUGUUAGCAAGGGCCGGGCAAGACCGGUGCCAGCCGCCGCGGUAAUACCGGCGGCUCGAGUGGUGGCCGAUAUUAUUGAGUCUAAAGGGUCCGUAGCCGGCUUUGCAAGUCCCCUGGGAAAUCCAGCGGCUUAACCGUUGGGCUUUCAUGGGAUACUACAUUGCUUGGGACUGGGAGAGGUAGGAGGUACUCAGGGGGUAGGGGUGAAAUCCUGUAAUCCUCUGGGGACCACCGGUGGCGAAGGCGUCCUACCAGAACAGGUCCGACGGUGAGGGACGAAAGCUAGGGGCACGAACCGGAUUAGAUACCCGGGUAGUCCUAGCCGUAAACGAUGCUCGCUAGGUGUCACGGCAGUCGUGAAUUGUCGUGGUGCCGUAGGGAAGCCGUGAAGCGAGCCACUUGGGAAGUACGACCGCAAGGUUGAAACUUAAAGGAAUUGGCGGGGGAGCAC
rnacentral:rRNA from 1 species